GGAAAACAAAUGUGUCCCAUCUCACAUGGUUCUACCCUACUAAAGACAGGAAGAUCAUAGACUGACAGAUACUGAAAAUGGAGAUAGCUGCUAUGGGUUCUUCAGGCACAACUUAACAUGGGAAGAGAGUAAGCAGUUCUAUUUUCCUUUAAUUUUCUUUCUUCUUGUCCUUCAUUUCUAAUUACCUGAACGUGGUAUGAUUUACUGCAUCUUCAGAUAUACACAUAUAAAACCAAAAUCAGGCCAAUAUAGGUUAGGGCUUAAUUAAAUAACCCUGAAAGAGAAAGUAAAGAAUUACACUUGGCAAGUCAGAUAUUUGAAACAUAUUCACAGAAAAAAAAAUUACACUUCCAACAUGAUAUUAUUGCCCUAGACUCUGUGUUGUUUAAACUAAAUCUAAUUUAAUGUUCAGAGUAUCAAGAAUGUCCGAGUUAAUUGUUUAUGUUGACACAUAUGCAAUGUCAAAUACUGCUUCAUUUCUC
rnacentral:lncRNA from 1 species